rnacentral:rRNA from 1 species
UACGAAGGGGGCUAGCGCUGCUCGGAAUCACUGGGCGUAAAGCGCACGUAGGCGGACUCUUAAGUCGGUGGUGAAAUCCUGGAGCUCAACUCCAGAACUGCCUUCGAUACUGAGAGUCUCGAGUCCGAGAGAGGUGAGUGGAACUGCGAGUGUAGAGGUGAAAUUCGUAGAUAUUCGCAAGAACACCAGUGGCGAAGGCGGCUCACUGGCUCGGUACUGACGCUGAGGUGCGAAAGCGUGGGGAGCAAACAGG